rnacentral:rRNA from 1 species
CCUACGGGAGGCAGCAGUGGUGGAAUAUUGCGCAAUGGGCGCAAGCCUGAUGCAGCCAUGCCGCGUGUAUGAAGAAGGCCUUCGGGUUGUAAAGUACUUUCAGCGAGGAGGAAGGCAUUAAGGCUAAUAACCUUAGUGAUUGACGUUACUCGCAGAAGAAGCACCGGCUAACUCCGUGCCAGCAGCCGCGGUAAU